AUCCAGCUGUCGAGUCCCAAAUAAGAUGAAACGCGCGUCCUGGAU
rnacentral:hammerhead_ribozyme from 1 species